rnacentral:rRNA from 1 species
AGCUCCAAUAGCGUAUAUUAAUGUUGUUGCAGUUAAAAAGCUCGUAGUUGGAUUUCUGGUAGAGAGACUCCGCCCUCCCGCGAGUGCGCGGAGGCUCUCUUCCAUCCUUCUGUUAACCCUUCAAGUCCUUUACUGGUCGGUUGGGAGCCCAGAUAUUUUACCUUGAGAAAAUUAGAGUGUUUCAGGCAGGCUCGCGCCCGGAUACAUUAGCAUGGAAUAAUGGAAUAGGACUUUAGCCUCUUCUGUUGGUCUGAGGGGUUUGAGUAAUGAUUAAUAGGGAUAGUUGGGGGCAUUAGUACUUUACUGUCAGAGGUGAAAUUCUUGGAUUUGUAAAAGACUAACUUAUGCGAAAGCAUUUGCCAAGGAUGUUUUCAUUA